AUUGAACGCUGGCGGCAGGCCUAACACAUGCAAGUCGAACGGUAACAGGAAACAGCUUGCUGUUUCGCUGACGAGUGGCGGACGGGUGAGUAAUGUCUGGGAAACUGCCUGAUGGAGGGGGAUAACUACUGGAAACGGUAGCUAAUACCGCAUAACGUCGCAAGACCAAAGAGGGGGACCUUCGGGCCUCUUGCCAUCGGAUGUGCCCAGAUGGGAUUAGCUAGUAGGUGGGGUAACGGCUCACCUAGGCGACGAUCCCUAGCUGGUCUGAGAGGAUGACCCGCCACACUGGAACUGAGACACGGUCCAGACUCCUACGGGAGGCAGCAGUGGGGAAUAUUGCACAAUGGGCGCAAGCCUGAUGCAGCCAUGCCGCGUGUAUGAAGAAGGCCUUCGGGUUGUAAAGUACUUUCAGCGGGGAGGAAGGGAGUAAAGUUAAUACCUUUACUCAUUGACAUUACCCGCAGAAGAAGCACCGGCUAACUCCGUG
rnacentral:rRNA from 1 species